rnacentral:rRNA from 1 species
GACGAACGCUGGCGGCGUGCUUAACACAUGCAAGUCGAACGGAAAGGCCCUGCUUUUGUGGGGUUCUCGAGUGGCGAACGGGUGAGUAACACGUGAGUAACCUGCCCUUGACUUUGGGAUAACUUCAGGAAACUGGGGCUAAUACCGGAUAGGAGCUCCUGCUGCAUGGUGGGGGUUGGAAAGUUUCGGCGGUUGGGGAUGGACUCGCGGCUUAUCAGCUUGUUGGUGGGGUAGUGGCUUACCAAGGCUUUGACGGGUAGCCGGCCUGAGAGGGUGACCGGCCACAUUGGGACUGAGAUACGGCCCAGACUCCUACGGGAGGCAGCAGUGGGGAAUAUUGCACAAUGGGCGGAAGCCUGAUGCAGCAACGCCGCGUGCGGGAUGACGGCCUUCGGGUUGUAAACCGAUUUCGCCUGUGACGAAGCGUGAGUGACGGUAAUGGGUAAAGAAGCCCCGGCUAACUACGUG